UAUAACAGAAUACUAUAGGUCGGGUGGUUUAUAAAACAAACAAACAAAAAAACCCAGGAAUUAAUUUCUCACAGUUCUGGAGGCUGGACGUCCAAGAUCAAGCUUCUUAUGGAAACUGAGACCAAUGAUUUAACAUAAUUCUUCCUAAGGGAUGAAUUCUUAGAAACAGCCUCCCAAGACUAAUUCAUGAAGAGAUUAAAAAUACGGACAGAUAGAUUAAUAAUGAGGAAAAUGAAUCAGUAAUCAAAAAUCUCCCAGCAAAAAAAGUUCAGAACCAGAUGGCUUCACUGGUAAAUUCUAGCAGACACUUAAAGAAUUAACACCAAUACUUCUUGGAUUCUUCCAAAAGACAGAAGAGGAAGAAGCACUUCCAAACUCAUUAUAUGAGGCCAGCAUUGCCCCC